rnacentral:tRNA from 1 species
UGUGGCUUAGUUGGUGAAAGCGAUGGACUAGCGAUACGGAGUCGUGGGUUCAAAUCCCACCA